AUACGUAGGUGGCAAGCGUUAUCCGGAUUUACUGGGUGUAAAGGGGGCGCAGGCGGGAAGCUAAGUUGGAUGUGAAAUACCGGGGCUCAACUCCGGAGCUGCAUCCAAAACUGGUUUUCUUGAGGGGAGUAGAGGCAAGCGGGAUUCCGAGUGUAGCGGUGAAAUGCGUAGAUAUUCGGAGGAACACCAGUGGCGAAGGCGGCUUGCUGGGCUCUAACUGACGCUGAGGCCCGAAAGCGUGGGGAGCAAACAGGAUUAGAUACCCUGGUAGUCCACGCCGUAAACGAUGAUUACUAGGUGUGGGGGGUCUGACCCCUACCGUGCCGCAGUUAACGCAAUAAGUAAUCCACCUGGGGAGUACGGCCGCAAGGCUGAAACUCAAAGGAAUUGACGGGG
rnacentral:rRNA from 1 species